rnacentral:rRNA from 1 species
ACUACGGGGGGCAGCAGUGGGGAAUAUUGGGCAAUGGGCGCAAGCCUGACCCAGCAACGCCGCGUGAAGGAAGAAGGCUUUCGGGUUGUAAACUUCUUUUCUCAGGGACGAAGAAAGUGACGGUACCUGAGGAAUAAGCCACGGCUAACUACGUGCCAGCAGCCGCGGUAAUACGUAGGUGGCAAGCGUUAUCCGGAUUUAUUGGGUGUAAAGGGCGUGUAGGCGGGAGCGCAAGUCAGAUGUGAAAACUCAGGGCUCAACCCUGAGCCUGCAUUUGAAACUGUGUUUCUUGAGUGCUGGAGAGGCAAUCGGAAUUCCGUGUGUAGCGGUGAAAUGCGUAGAUAUACGGAGGAACACCAGUGGCGAAGGCGGAUUGCUGGACAGUAACUGACGCUGAGGCGCGAAAGCGUGGGGAGCAAACAGGAUUAGAUACCCGGGUAGUC